rnacentral:rRNA from 1 species
AGAGUUUGAUCCUGGCUCAGAACGAACGCUGGCGGCAGGCCUAACACAUGCAAGUCGAGCGCCCGCAAGGGAGCGGCAGACGGGUGAGUAACGCGUGGGAACGUGCCCUUUGGUUCGGAAUAUUCCCGGGAAACUGGGAGCAAAACCGGAUAAGCCCUUCGGGGGAAAGUUUACGCCAAAGGAUCGACCCGCGUUAGAUUAGGUAGUUGGUGGGGUAACGGCCUACCAAGCCUACGAUCUAUAGCUGAUCUGAGAGGAUGAUCAGCCACACUGGGACUGAGACACGGCCCAGACUCCUACGGGAGGCAGCAGUGGGGAAUCUUGGACAAUGGGCGCAAGCCUGAUCCAGCCAUGCCGCGUGGAUGACUGAAGGCCCUAGGGUUGUAAAGUCCUUUCGACGGGGACGAUAAUGACGGUACCCGUAGAAGAAGCCCCGGCUAACUUCGUGCCAGCAGCCGCGGUAAUACGAAGGGGGCUAGCGUUGUUCGGAUUUACUGGGCGUAAAGGGCGCGUAGGCGGAUUUUUAAGUCGGGGGGUGAAAUCCCGGAGCUCAACUCCGGAACUGCCUUCGAUACUGGAAGUCUGGAGCACGGUAGAGGUGAGUGGAAUUCCGAGUGUAGCGGUGAAAUGCGUAGA